rnacentral:rRNA from 1 species
GACGAACGCUGGCGGCGUGCCUAAUACAUGCAAGUCGAACGCAGUGGGGACGGGUGAGUAACACGUGGGUAACCUCCCAUCAGAGGGGAUAACACUUGGAAACAGGUGCUAAACCGAUAUUGAUGGUUUGACCCGCGGUGCAUUAGCUAGUUGGUGAGGUAACGGCUCACCAAGGCCACGAUGCAUAGCCGACCUGAGAGGGGGCUCGGAAACACUGGGACUGAGACACGGCCCAGACUCCUAGGGGAGGCAGCAGGAGGGAAUCUUCGGAAAUGGACGAAAGUCUGACCGAGCAACGCCGCGUGAGUGGAGAAGGUUUUCGGAUCGUAAAACUCUGUUGUUAGAGAAGCGGUAUCUAACCAGAAAGCAACGGCUAACUACGUGCCAGCAGCCGCGUAAUUC